rnacentral:rRNA from 1 species
UACGUAGGGUCCGAGCGUGUCCGGAAUUAUUGGGCGUAAAGGGCUCGUAGGCGGUUUGUCGCGUCUGCCGUGAAAGUCCGGGGCUCAACUCCGGAUCUGCGGUGGGUACGGGCAGACUAGAGUGAUGUAGGGGAGACUGGAAUUCCUGGUGUAGCGGUGAAAUUCGUAGAUAUCGGGAGGAACACCAGUGGCGAAGGCGGCGAUCUGGGAAGAUACUGACGCUGAGGUGCGAAAGCGUGGGGAGCAAACGGG